CCUGUGUUCUGCAGCCAACACGGGGGGUGUCUGUGAGGGGCAGGGCUCCGGGACCUGCGCAGUGGCUCUCUACGACUACCAAGGAGAGGGAGAUGAUGAGAUUUCUUUUGACCCGGACGACACAAUCACACACAUCGAGAUGGUGGACGAGGGCUGGUGGCGGGGGCAGUGCCACGGCAGGGUCGGCCUCUUCCCAGCAAAUUACGUGAAACUUCUCCAGUGAAACAAGCAUUGUGCGAGCUGCUCCCUUCCAAACUGCUGCCUCUCUCCGCUUCAGCCUCUUCCAUGUUAUCAGCUUCAUUUGGCUCAGCUCAUUUGGUGUGUCCACAUUCAGAGAAAUAUCAAGGAGCAAACUGACAGUGUCUGAGGGAAUGUUUUGUCUUGUGCCCGAGAGGAUUUUGGUUCCCGUCCACUUCCAGGUGGGAAAGGUGGGAUGGUUUAAGAGCGUGUGAGUGUGAUGUAAGGUGUCUCUUCUACCCAGGCUGCCACACCUGUCAGCUAGCAAACCUGCAGGAGCGUGUCCUGUUCCCAAUGGGGCAAUUUGCAAAGCAGAGACACCGACUCUCGUCCAAGCAAGGCAGAAGGGACGUGAGCUGUAGGAUCUUUUCCAGUUGCUGUAGCCCUGGAUCUCAUCCUAGCCAGGGUUCAAGGAAAAGAGCACUGGGAAAGCCAAAUUUGCCUUUGUUCCCAGAAAGGGUUUCCAUUUGCAGGAUGACCCACAUUUGCAGGAUGGAGCAGAGAAACGUGAACUUAGUCUGUGUGCCCCUUUUGGGCAGUGGUGUGUCUGUCCUUGAGGGCUGUGCUCUCCCUUUUGGGCACAGAUGUGUCAGUGUGUCUGUCCCUGGGGGCUGUGCCCUCCCUCACAGCUGCAGCAAUAAACAGCUUCUGCUCUGGCC